rnacentral:lncRNA from 1 species
UUUGUUUUAUUAUAUGUUCUUCGUCAGUUAUAAUCGGACAGGUAAUCCAUGUCUGUUUUAGUAUAUCUUCAAGUACGAACUGAACCUAAAUAUGUAGAAUAUACAUGCAAAUUAAUGAAAAGAAGAGAAUAAAAAUCACACCAAGAUUUUUACUUGAUUCAAUCCCUAUCCUCUAAUCUAGUGGCCUAAUCCACAUCCAAUAACAACUGUUAUUAAAAACUCUUUAUAUUAAAUAAACUUUUCAAUACACAAUACAACCUUUCUCACCAUAGCAACUGUUCCAAGUGCGUGUUCAAAGCAGUGUGGCAAAGCAUAGAAUACCUUUUGCAGAAUACCAUAUGGCAAAGCAUAUAUGAUUCCUUAAUUAUUUGCAGAAUACCAGAUGGCAAAGCAUAGUAUGCCAUUUAUUUAACAAGUCAAUAAUGGCACGGACUUGGAACAGUUGCUAAGACAUCAUUGACUUGUUAAAUAAAUGGCAUACUAUAUAUGCUUUGCCAUCUGGCAGGUAUUCUGCUUAAUGGCAAUAUAUAUAAGAGAUUUGAACUUGAUGUAAUAAUAAGAUGGAUAAAAAUAAAACUUUAGGGCUUAAUUGGGGAAUAUUAUACAUGGAACUCUUAAAAGAAUUGUGGAGAUAAACCCCAAAG